UGGGGAAUAUUGGGCAAUGGGCGAAAGCCUGACCCAGCAACGCCGCGUGAAGUAUGAAGGCCUUCGGUUUGUAAACUUCUUUGAUCAGGGAAGAAACAAAUGACGGUACCUGAAAAACAAGCCACGGCUAACUACGUGCCAGCAGCCGCGGUAAUACGUAGGUGGCGAGCGUUAUCCGGAUUUACGUGGUGUAAAGGGCGUGCAGGCGGGCUGAUAAGUCAGAUGUGAAAUCCCCGAGCUUAACUCGGGAACUGCAUCUGAUACUGUUGGUCUUGAGUGCUGGAGAGGAUAGUGGAAUUCCUAGUGUAGCGGUAAAAUGCGCAGAUAUUAGGAGGAACACCAGUGGCGAAGGCGGCUAUCUGGACAGUAACUGACGCUGAGGCGCGAAAGCGUGGGUAGCAAACAGG
rnacentral:rRNA from 1 species